AACGAACGCUGGCGGCAUGCCUAACACAUGCAAGUCGAACGAGACCUUCGGGUCUAGUGGCGCACGGGUGCGUAACGCGUGGGAACCUGCUCUUAGGUUCGGAAUAACUCCCCGAAAGGGGUGCUAAUACCGGAUAAUGUCUUCGGACCAAAGAUUUAUCGCCUUUGGAUGGGCCCGCGUUGGAUUAGCUAGUUGGUAGGGUAAAAGCCUACCAAGGCGACGAUCCAUAGCUGGUCUGAGAGGAUGAUCAGCCACACUGGGACUGAGACACGGCCCAGACUCCUACGGGAGGCAGCAGAGGGGAAUAUUGGACAAUGGGCGAAAGCCUGAUCCAGCAAUGCCGCGUGAGUGAUGAAGGCCUUAGGGUUGUAAAGCUCUUUUACCCGGGAUGAUAAUGACAGUACCGGGAGAAUAGGCUCCGGCUAACUCCGUG
rnacentral:rRNA from 1 species